rnacentral:misc_RNA from 1 species
GUCCUGGUCGGUUGGAUCCCUGCUUGGGGCAGCGACAACCGCAUGUUCAUCCCUCUUCAUUCUUUGCUCCAAGAGCCACAGUGCCUUGGGCCCGACUUUUGUUGCCUGUGCUGUAUACCUACGUAGAUGGAAUUCGUUGCUCCAAUCGUCCCCAUUUCACCUUGUGCUGCUCACGCGGUACGGGGAUGAGCCAUAUGGUGCCCCUUGUCGUCCGUGCACGCAAGACAUUUCACAUGUCGCGAGCAAUGGCCGACUUGUUGUUGCCCGAUCUCUCGGAUACGGAACCUUAAGCGGGUAGGGGGUCCUUGGGCCUCUAUUUGCCCAAAUUAAGCGUUCUCGCUUCUUACGAACGACUGUCAUGCUCGCGUUGACCUGAGGAUGCUUUCGGUC